AGUGGGUUUAUGAUCCUUUCUGGUCCUUUUUUCCCCAGGUCCAUCUGGGCCAAAUGAGCUUAGUCCACCAGCAGCAACAUCAGCUGCCAUCUGUAUGGUCUGUUCAGAAAACAGGACCAGGAAACUAUGGUUGCCUGAAUGGGCCACAAAAUACAUGGGAUGCCGAAGCACAGAUUGCUCAGCAGGCCCACCAAAAGAUUCCAGCCCAUCUGAAAAGGGCAAAAUUAUUUCAGCGAUACAGCCUGUAUUUCUUUAGCUGAUCUUGGUUUAUGCAGGAGGGAUAGUGGCUAUACAUCCUAAUUUCUGAAGUGGCUCACCUAAUCGCCUAUCACUGUGUACAAAAACAAGUGUUAAAUUGAUGUGGCUUAUGACUGUGAUGCCUUUGCAGUAUUAUGCGAUGCCCAGCAAUAUAAAAGACCUCAGGAAGUCAGAGAAGAACCUGCAGACAAGCCCUCUGAAAUGGAAGAACUACUCCUGGAGGUUCCACUUGCUGCUUCAUUUCAAGGCGCUCCAGCUGAAGACAGAGAGUGAGAAAUACAUCCAGAAUGCUGUGCCCUCGUUCUGAAACAAUAGCAACACAAACCAUCUCAUUCUGCAGGUUAUGAGCCUCACACACAAUAAGACAUAAAGACUGACAACUGCUGUUGCUUUGGCCAGAACUUUCACCUCAACAAUUCAGAAUGAAACAGUUCAGAUUGUUUAAGGGGGUUUUCACAACUGAGAGUCCGCACCGUACCAAAGUUCAUGUCUUUUGAUUCAUUUUGUUACAUUCGGUUAGUUUUGCUUUGGUUUCACACUGCAGCUAUGCGAGCGCACUAAAGGGACAGACUUGAGUCCUGUUGUCAUCAUAUAUUUGGGCUGUGUCUCCCAAUACUUGACAUUGAUUGGUUUGUAAAGAGUUCCCCUGGUAGCUUUAACAAGAAUAAAUGAAUGAGGGAUGAACAGAUAGAUGCAUAUCGUUGCCACUAUAUUGUUAUUAUUAUGGCAUUACUUCCUGCAGCACCAACUGUACUCGAGGCUAGUUCAAAUUUGACAAAUAACUGUCCUCGUUGUGUGAACAUGAUAUCUUCGUCGGCAGGAAAGGAGUAGAAGACUUCAAGCAAUCCUUCUGCACCUCCAUUUGAAGACAGACCAAAGAGGUUGUCCCAUAGUGUCAUUUGUUUCAAAAGAUGAGCUGCCACAGGAGAUUUAUAAUUGUGUCCAUUUUUCAGUGCAUUUCUCCUUGCUUUUGUUUAUUUCCAGUUUACAAGGGAACCGCCAAAAAUUCUAUAAAUAUUCUGAAAGUGUGGACCAUCCAGAAAAUGCUUUCACUCUAGAAAUGAACCGAACUAUUCAAUUUGAUCCCGAGACCUCUUUUCGUCGGAUCAAAUUUCGACUCUUUGGUCCGCACCGUGGUCCGGGGGAGGUUUCACACCUGUAAUUUUGGUUCGGAUCAAAAUGAAAAGUCCGGAAGUCCAGACCUAACAAGGUAGGUGUGAAAGCCUUCUCGGUCUCAGGGGUUGACUGUCUGACCCACUAAUAGAAUCCAAUAAUUAAGCAACAACAAAUAGUAGAAAAGAGGCUGCUUUCCUGUGACAAAAGGCUUGACUGAAACAAUAUCUGGGCUGUUGACUCUGGGAAAUGUAGGGAAGAGGAAGGUAUGGAUACCAACAACACCCGUGAUCACUACGUCUCUUCAAAGGCAUCAUUGGAAAGGGGGGAGAAAUAGCCCUAUAAUUUCUAGUAAUGUAUAGAAAGGGCACUAAAAUGCUUCUUGGUUUCAGUGUUGUUUUGUGUUAGCUAUGUUUUUUUUUUACAUUGUGCUAACAGGUUGAAUUUGUUAAGUUCAGUCCAUAAUAUAAUAAUAAUUUGAAUGCAGGUUCCUGAGUAACUUCAAGGAAGGCAUGAGAUUCAGUGUUGCUGCUGCUCUAUGCUGUCCCCGUUCCUUUUGUCACAUCAGACCGUAAAGUUCAGUUUUCCCUGUGCAUGUAAAUAUACCUACAUGUUAACACUGACAUCAUAACUGUGACUCAGCUCUGAUUUCACCACUGUGCACCUCUGUCUCUUUGUCAUUAGGCUGGUAUAGCUUGAGAGCAACCCUGAGCAGUAUAUGGCCAUUCAACACAUUGUAGCUGCUACAGCAAAACCUGCUCCUUAUCCGGUAUUUGGUCCACUUGGCACAGGUACUAUACAUGAAUGUGUGUGUGAAUGUCCCCUAAAGCUUAAGUAUUUAUUUCAUUUACAUUUAGAACAAUGUGUUUUUACACGUAUUGGUCAGGCAAAACAGUGACUUUGGUGGAAGCCAUCAAGCAGAUAAGGAAAACGAAGGUUUCAUGCAACAUCCUGGCUUUACUCUAUAUAUGCUUUACUCUAUCUAUGCUUUACUCUAUAUAUGCUUCUUCUCAGAAGAAAUAUAAGGAACCAUGCCAUAAACUUUCAUUGCUAUGCUGAUGAGACUCAGCUAUAUCUAGCAAUCAGGCCGGAUGAUUCAAAUCAGUUAGCCAAACUUCAAGUGUGCAUAUGCAAGAUGUCAAAGCCUGGAUGACCUGUAAUUUCCUCAUGCUAAACUCACACAAAACUGAAGUUAUUUUACUUGGGCCCAAACACCUUCGAGAUAUAUUGUACAACGACAUUGUUAUUAUGGAAUGCAUCGCCCUGGCCCCCAGUACCACCGUGAGGAACCUGGGAGUUAUUUUCGAUCAGGAAAUGUCCUUCAAUCUGCAUGUUGUGCAAAUUUCAAGAACUGCCUACUUUCAUUAACGUUACAUUGCUAAAAUCAGGAACAUCGUGUCUCAAAACGCUGCAGAAAAACUGGUCCACGCUUUCAUUACUUCCAGGCUUGACUAUUGUAAUUCUUUACUAGCGGGCACCACAAUGAAGUCUCUAAAGCCACUCCAGCUGAUCCAGAAUGCAGUUGCGCAUGUUCUGUCUAGAGUCAAGAUUAGAGAGCAUAUUUCUCCAGUUCUAGCCUCCCUUCACUGGCUCCCUGUGAAAUACAGAAUAGAUUUUAAAAUUGUUCUACUUACCUACAAAGCCUUAAAUGGCCAGGCACCAUUGUACCACAAAGAACUCCUGAUACCUUACUGCCCCAAUAGAGCACUGUGCUCUCAAAAUGCAGGGCUGCUUGUGGUGCCUAAUUUAACUAAGGUUAGAGUGGGACAAAGAGCAUUUAGUUAUCAAGCACCUCUACUAUGGAACCAGGUUCCAAUUUGGGUGUGGGAGUCGGAUAACAUCACCACCUUUAAGGCUAGACUUAAGACUUUUCUGUUUAAUAAAGCUUUUAAUUAGGACAGG